ACACCAUGGUUGUCUCUGGAAAUCACAGCCUGCACAUUCCGCUGUCCCCAGGCGACAUUGCUUCCUGUCACUUUGAUAGAGUGUGUGAUGCAGAUAGAGAAGAAGCGGGAGGCAGAGGGGGGCAGAGAGGAGAUGCCUACAGCACUGCUCGCCACUCCUGAAUCUACCUCCCUGCAGUUCCUCUUGUGCGUUGCUCUUGAGCUGUCUAUCCUGUAUGGCGGGGCCCCACAGGAACCUGAGGCCCCAUGUGCCACUGUCUGAAGACCACUGCCCACAUCCUGCCACCCCUGUCUCUGCACUGUCAAUGGCCGGUAGCCUGCAACUUGAGGAAUGUUGGCAGCAUCCUUACUUCCACAAGCCAGCGACCAGCUGAAGCCAGUCAUGACUCCGGCCUCUCCGCUACCCUUGAUUCCCUUUGACUCAGAAAGCACCUUCACUGGCACCGUGAGGGCUGCUGUGAGACCCUCCCACACAGAGGUUUCUUAUGGCCAGUCUGACCACCUCUAGUCAGCGCUCCAGACCACCAGAGACCAAGGCAUUACCUUGGAUCUUGCUCCUGAUUGCUUGCCCCUUUGAAAGCCCAUGGCUGUCCCCGAGGGUAUUUUUGACCAGCCUCUCCGACACCCACUUAACCCUCUCAUCAUGGCAGACAGUCACACAAGCUCCUGGCCUGGCUGGCAGGCCCCGCAGAGGCUCACCACACAGGAUCCCCAGGGUCAGAGACCUUUUUCUGGCAUCUUCUCUAAGGAAUGAGCCCCACCGUGUACUCCAGAGUUAGAUUCCUGUCUUUAGCUUCGGCUUGGAUCCUCACAUCUUGGAUACUCACUACACC